GACGAACGCUGGCGGCGUGCUUAACACAUGCAAGUCGAGCGGAAAGGCCACUUCGGUGGUACUCGAGCGGCGAACGGGUGAGUAACACGUGAGUAAUCUGCCCCUGGCUUUGGGAUAGCCACCGGAAACGGUGAUUAAUACCGGAUACGACCACUUCUCGCAUGGGAUGGUGGUGGAAAGUUUUUUCGGCCAGGGAUGUGCUCGCGGCCUAUCAGCUUGAUGGUGAGGUAAUGGCUCACCAUGGCUUCGACGGGUAGCCGGCCUGAGAGGGUGACCGGUCACACUGGGACUGAGACACGGCCCAGAUGCCUACGGGGGGCAGCAGGGGGGAAUAUUGGACAAUGGGCGGAAGCCUGAUCCAGCAACGCUGCGUGAGGGAUGACGGCCUUCGGGUUGUAAACCUCUUUCAGCAGGGACGAAGCGCAAGUGACGGUACCUGCAGAAGAAGCACCGGCCAACUACGUGCCAGCAGCCGCCGUAA
rnacentral:rRNA from 1 species